rnacentral:piRNA from 1 species
UCCAUUUUGUCCUGUAACUUG